rnacentral:rRNA from 1 species
GACGAACGCUGGCGGCGUGCUUAACACAUGCAAGUCGAACGGAAAGGCCCCUUUGGGGGUCCUCGAGUGGCGAACGGGUGAGUAACACGUGAGUAACCUGCCCUUGACUUCGGGAUAACUUCAGGAAACUGGGGCUAAUACCGGAAAGGAAUCCUUGCUGCAUGGUGGGGGUUGGAAAGCUUCGGCGGUUUUGGAUGGACUCGCGGCUUAUCAGCUUGUUGGUGGGGUAGUGGCUUACCAAGGCUUUGACGGGUAGCCGGCCUGAGAGGGCGACCGGCCACAUUGGGACUGAGAUACGGCCCAGACUCCUACGGGAGGCAGCAGUGGGGAAUAUUGCACAAUGGGCGGAAGCCUGAUGCAGCAACGCCGCGUGCGGGAUGACGGCCUUCGGGUUGUAAACCGCUUUCAGCAGGGGCGAAGCUUGUGGUGACGGUACCUGCAGAAGAAGCACCGGCUAACUACGUG